AAAUAAGAAACAAAUAUUGUAUUUAGUUUCGACCUAAAAUUUUGAUGAAAAUAUCAUCCUUAUUUA
rnacentral:tRNA from 1 species